AGCGGCCAGUUGCUCUGACAAUGUUGCACUACUGUUUCCACAGUUCAAGCAGUGCAACAGUACUGUCAUAGCAUUGGGCCUUUGC
rnacentral:pre_miRNA from 1 species